UACGAAGGGUGCAAGCGUUACUCGGAAUUACUGGGCGUAAAGCGUGCGUAGGUGGUGAGUUAAGUCUGUCGUGAAAGCCCCGGGCUCAACCUGGGAAUGGCGAUGGAUACUGGCUCGCUAGAGUGCGGUAGAGGAGAGUGGAAUUCCUGGUGUAGCGGUGAAAUGCGUAGAUAUCAGGAGGAACACCGGUGGCGAAGGCGGCUCUCUGGACGGAUACUGACGCUGAGGCGCGAAAGCGUGGGGAUCAAACAGG
rnacentral:rRNA from 1 species